rnacentral:rRNA from 1 species
CCUACGGGCGGCAGCAGUGGGGAAUAUUGGGCAAUGGAGGCAACUCUGACCCAGCAACGCCGCGUGAAUGAUGACGGUCUUCGGAUUGUAAAGUUCUUUUCUUAGGGAAGAAGAAAGUGACGGUACCUUAGGAUUAAGCCUAGGCUAACUACGUGCCAGCAGCCGCGGUAAUACGUAGGAGGCAAGCGUUCUCCGGAAUGACUGGGCGUAAAGGGUGCGUAGGUGGUUUGACAAGUUAGUAGCGAAACUCCGGAGCUAAACUUCGGAACUACAACUAAAACUGUUGGACUUGGGUGCAGGAGGGGCAAUCGGAAUUGCUGGGGUAGCGGUGGAAUGCGUAGAUAUUAGGAGGAACACCAGUGGCGAAGGCGGAUUGCAAGACUGUAACUGACACUGAGGCACGAAAGCGUGGGGAGCAAACAGGAUUAGAUACCGAGUAGUC